GAUGAAGAACGCAGCGAAAUGCGAUAAGUAAUGUGAAUUGCAGAAUUCAGUGAAUCAUCGAAUCUUUGAACGCACAUUGCGCCCGCCAGUAUUCUGGCGGGCAUGCCUGUCCGAGCGUCAUUUCAACCCUCGAACCCCUCCGGGGGGUCGGCGUUGGGGAUCGGCCCUUUACGGGGCCGGCCCCGAAAUACAGUGGCGGUCUCGCCGCAGCCUCUCCUGCGCAGUAGUUUGCACACUCGCAUCGGGAGCGCGGCGCGUCCACAGCCGUUAAACACCCCAAACUUCUGAAAUGUUGACCUCGGAUCAGGUAGGAAUACCCGCUGAACUUAAGCAUAUCCAAUAAGCGGAGGA
rnacentral:misc_RNA from 1 species